rnacentral:rRNA from 1 species
GACGAACGCUGGCGGCGUGCUUAACACAUGCAAGUCGAACGAAGUGGCGAACGGGUGAGUAACGCAUAAUAAACCUGCCCUUCAGAGGGGGACAACAGUGGGAAACGACUGCUAAUACCGCAUACGGAAGGAGGGGAUUGCGUCGGAUUAGCUAGCUGGGGGGGUAACGGCCCACCAAGGCGAAGAUCAGUAGCCGGGUUGGAGGGAAGAACGGCCAACUUGGGAACGGAACACGGCCCAGACUCCUACGGGAGGCAGCAGGGGGGAAUCUUCCGCAAUGGACGAAAGUCUGACGGAGCAACGCCGGGGGAGGGAUGACGGCUCUCGGGUUGUAAAGCUCUGUUAAUCGGGACGCGUUACCGGCAUAGAAAGCCACGGCUAACUACGUGCCAGCAGCCGCGGUAAUUC